UUGGAAAGAUUUUAUAGAAAAGAACCGUUGGAAUUCGGAAGUCGAAAGGAUUGGGUCGGUGUAUUGGCGCUUAAUAUAUACCUUCUUCACUCAUCUGUCUGUUCUCCAAACACCACAGGAGACAUGUUUCCUUGAAGAAGAAGAGGGUUUUAUUUGGAGGCACCACCUUCUCCUCUUUUCUUCUUCUGUUCCCGCGUUCAAGAAUCCUUUGCGUUUCCCUCUUCGUCUCUUAGGUCUCUCUUCUUCAUUACUGGAUUCAUCGGUCAGUUUGGUUCAAGGUCAUCAUCGAUCAAGAAAAAGAGCACAGAUCUUUUUUCGCUCUGGGUUUCUUUCUCUUUCUCCUCCAUCUUUUUUUUUUCUUUGUUGGUUUAUUGGAUUUUUGUCGUCAAAUUGAAUCCAAAACAUGAAAGCAUCCAUCAAACGAAAGAUGAUUGGUCAUGGAAGCGGCGAUGUCGGAUUUUAGAGAUUGAAAUUUGAUUUUUGGGGUCAUAAGGAAGGUUCAAAUGAUCAUUUCUGCUAUUUGAUUACUGAUUUAUUUGCUAUAUGAAUCGGUGCUUUUUAUUGUGUAGUGUUCAUGAUAGUGAUUUCUUUAUUGUACUCAAUCACAUCAUGGCAAAACUGCUGCUUCUUUAUGACUUGAUUACUGUAUUUUCAUUCGUGUAGGAUAACUAGAAAUUGUUGGAUGACAUGGAAUAACUGAGACCUACUAUAUAUUCUGUAGUGUUUCAGGAUUAUGUAACAGAGUAUGCCUAGUAAUUCGUUACAAAAGAUUCUUGUUAUUUGGUUGAUUCUUUUAUUUUUUUAAAAGUGUGCUUUUAUGUAGCAAAUUAGGACAUCAGGGAAGGGAAAUGCCAAAGGCUGAAAUAUUAAAAACAAGUGGUCAAUAUAAAGAGGAUGUCAGUAGUUACCUUUGUAUAACUGAUGAGGAACCUCUUCAUUCAGCUGUGAUAUGCUUGAACAAGCAUCUUAUUGUUACAUUUUCUAUCAACCAAACCAAUCAUCUUAAAAAGGAUAAACCAUGCCAUUCAUGCAUACAGAAACACUCUUUCUGUUUUGAAAAGAAACAACAUGGAGUUAUAUUUGGGAUCAUAUCCAUUUUCUUAUAGGACAUUAAUGCCAAUCAGGUCCGGAUGAUGUGUACAAGCCAGAUUUUGUGUGCCACACAGACAUUGCAUAUAAUAACUAUUGUGCAAUUCACCUAUCAGAGACAAAAGGCACAAAAAGAUUCCAAUGGGAGAGGGGACCACAGACAACCACGAGAGCACUACAAAGUGGUUGAAGGGCUAGAUGAGCUUGAUCCCAUCUCUUCCAUCAACAACUGGGUGGGGUUAAAGGUUAAGUGUAUGAUUUUCUGAACUUAUUGCUCAGUUACAUAAAUCUUAUCUUCCUUUGGCACACCAACAAUCUAUGAAAAGUCCAACCACAUCAUAUUGGCAAACUAUGGUGGCUCAGUUGGAGAUUAUGUAACAGAGUAUAAAUUUACGGAAAACGCCUUCAACACUUUUUUAGUUUGCCUGGGAAGGGAAUGCCACAUGGUGACAAGUGUUCAAUAUAAAGAGGGCGAUGGAACCUCUUCAUUCAGCUGUGAUAUUCUUGAACAAGCAUAAGCAUCUUAUUAUUACCUUUUAUUUCUGCCAAACCAAUUAUGCUAAGAAUAUAUGGAUUUCAUCUCAUUCUUUGUGGUGGCAGUUUUUGUUACUGGAUCAUAUAUCAAUACUUCAAUAGAUAAUUUUGUUUUACUAUUAAUGGAUAAACUUCAUUAUCGAAUAUCAAUGAUUCUGACACAGUUGGUAUGCUUUUCUUGGAAGGUUUGAUGUGGUAAUGAAACAUAUGUUGGAAAUUGUGGCUUCUAGUCAUCAAUCAAAGCCAAUGCAAUAAUUUUGCUGCAUAUAUAUAUGUAGGAUGGAAUUAAGCUCAAAGAUUUAUUUAACCAAUGUUAUGGUAUGUGCAGCUCAAGACAUUGAAGACAACCCCUGUUAUGUUCUAUCCAACAGAUGUAUUUGCAAAAUAAACACAAAACAACACAAGAAUGGAAUUGAAAUCCUUUUGAUUUCCUGUCAAUCAUACACAUGACAAAUACCAAUUCCUUUGACAUAUUCCAUUCAUUACUCUGCAACAAGAAAAGGUUUUAGAAACCAAAUAAAGAGCUUAUGUUAUGGUGGAGAAAAGGUAAAGAAGUUCCCCUGAGAAUCAAAGUCUUAGCAUGUAUGUUUUUACCCUUAAAACUAUAAAACACUUGAUGCUUUUUAUGUUCUUAUUUAGCUUUUGUGUUAAUGUUAAAAGGUACACUUUGAGUUCCAAUAAGGGUGUUGGGUUAUUAUGCCUUUAUCAAAUUACCGCCUUCUAUCCACUGAUUACAAAAGAUACAAGUCUAUGACCCUAUUUGUGUAUUUCCAGAAAUACCCCUUUGUUCCAAACUCAUGCUUGUGUAUUAUCUAUCUUCAGGAAAGUAUGGGAUUAACAUGCUUCAUGUAGAAUCAAUAAAAAAAAAGAAGAAGAUGUUGAAUAUUGCAAUGAAAAGGCCUUCAGCACUUAUUUAGUAUGGCUGCGAAAAUGGGAGAUCAGGGAAGGGAAAUGCCACAUGAUGUGGUCUUUGGUGGGCUGAAAUGUUAAAAUCAAGCGGUCAAUUAAUAUAAAGAGGGUGUUGGUGUUUACCUUCGUAUCUCUGAUGAGGUUAUAAUCAGUUCUCUUUUGUGAAUAAAAUAUUUUAUAUGAGAAUUAUGUUUUGAAUGACACUCACGAAGGUUAGGAUAUGAUAUAUUAGUUUGUUCAACCAUCAAAUGGAGAGACAAAUGUCUAAGUCAAUGUAUGUUUUUGUUGUUUCAUUGCUGUGUUUUUUAUCAACUCUAGAUUUCAUAUUCAUAUACACGUGCUUAAUGUAAACCCUCUUCUUUUGCUCUACAUUUCACACCAUAGUUACUGAUUUUGUUGAGUGUCGAUUUUCCAAAGAAAUUGAAGACAUGAAAAUGGAAGGUUUACUUUUACAGGUUACAUUGAUUGAAUAUGACACCUUGACAUAUUUUGAUAGUGGUAUGAUGGUUAAUCAUUUGCUUCAUUUCUUAUUGGUUGCACUGAUAAGAUUCUUUAUUGAAAUGAAGCUACAACCUUCAAGAACUCAUCAACCACUGGGGGUAAAGGUUGUAUCAUUUUCUAAGCUUAUUAUUCAGGGAAGUAACAACCAUUACCCUUUUCUUUUAGCUCACCAAAACAAGAUGAUGUUGCUACAAUAUGGUAUACAAGUGGAUACCAAAUGUGUAUUUUUUUCCUUCUCUUUUCAAGUCUACCAAAGUUUAAUCUUUUCUUACCUUAAGUGGAACUUAUUCCUUUUCCUACAUGGUUAGGGGAUAGAAACCUGACUGCAAAUGUUGCUGGUGGAAGUCUUGAAAUUAAGUUGUAUCCAUCAAAUUCACACAUAUAUGAAAGGUCCAACCAGAUGAUAUUGGUGUACUAUGGUGGCUUAGUUGGAUUUUAUCAAAUUUCAUCUUCUGUCUGAAUUAAGUUCAUGAUAAUGAUUUCCUUAUUGUACCUAAUCACAUCAUGCAUACAAAACUGCUGUUUCUUUUUAACUUAAUAGGCAAUGCAUUUUCAUUCAUGUAGAACAACUUGAAAUUGGUGGAUGAGAUGAUGGUGGAUUUGAGACCUAAUAUGCUCCACGAUUAUGUAACAGAGUAUAUGAUAUGUUGGGUGACAAAGGAGCUUUUCACCUAUAGAAACUAUACCCAUCUCAACUGUAAGUUUUUCACCUAGUUAUACACUUAUACUGCAUGAAAGUUGCACACAGUUGUAAGAGUUUAACAGUAUUUAUUUACUUUCCCAUGCAACUUAUCAACCUGAUUUUGUAUCAACAUGGUGUGUAUCCUUUUCAAACCAUAUGUGUAUGUGUAUUUAUCCAAUAAAGAACUUGAACUUUUAGUUUAGGGUUUAGGGUUUUUCCAAUUAAGAACUUGAACUUGCACACAUGAAGCCUUUGAUCAUCCUGUUAGUUACAUGUAAGUCUUUGAUUAUAAUGAAUGUGCAGGCCUUUUUGUUGUUUCUUCAAUUGACAUGCAGAUCCUAGGUAUCAACAUGUUUGUGGAUGUUUUUUUUUUUUGGUCCACGAUGGAUCAUCAGAGAGGUUUUUUCACUCCUUAAUUAUCAUUUUUGUUAUGAUGUAAAAAGCAUUGAAUAUAAAUAUUUGAAUUUCAUAAUUGCAUACGAUACAGAGUAACUUAAAAUAUUGGCAGAAAUGAAAAACACGCUUCAUUUAUGGAUUUCACCUUCAGGUUAUUUAUCAACAGUAUGUAGUCUAAACGUAUAAUAAUCCUUUCUCUCGUCUCUUUUGAUUUUGGAAUGCAUUAGAAUUUAGAUUGAGACUGAUGUCAAUAGGACACAAGUUGCAAUUUUAUGAGAAAGAAUAUAAAAUCCUUUCCAUAUUUCCUCAUGAGUUUUUAUAUUGUAAUUGAAUGCUAUUUAGAUGCGAAGAUAUAAAGCCUUCUAUUAAAGCAUUAUACUUUGAUAAUAAAACCUUUUAAGACAUUGUAAUUUUAUUAUUUUCCUAUCAAGUCACUAUACUUGAAAAAACUAAACAUGUUUGUUUUUGGUUGCCCAUUAUAGUUUUAUAAAUUUCAUAUUAACCUGUGAAGACUUUUUACUUUUUACUUUUUCUUAUUACGACAUUUCAUUUUAAAAAUCUAACCUAUCAAGACAUUUUCCCGUUAAAACAUCAAACUUGUUUGAACUUGGUUGCCAAUUACAGCAUUAUAGUUCAAUUUUUUUGACAACUAUUUUUCCUUCAAGUUAUUGUAUUUUCUAAAUCCAACAUUGUAUUGUACUUUCAACUGUUUUUCUAUUAAGAAAUUGCAUUUUCAAAAACUAAUCUAGUAAGACUUGUAUUUUGAAAAUCUGAACUUGUUUCACUUUGGCUAACAUUUAUAGCAUUUUAUAUUCAAAAUAUAUGAACGUUGUACUUUUGAAUUUUUUUUUGGUUAACAAUGCCCUAUGAAAAUUUAACAUACUUAGACAUUGCAAUUUUGGUUCUUAUUUUAUGGUUUCAUAACGCUCUUGGUACCUAGGUCGUCACCUAGAUGUUAAAUUUAUGAAAAUGACCAUCUUGCCAAUGUCUUGUUCAUCUCUUUCAUUUUCAUGUUAAAUUUAUGAAAAUGACCAUUUUGACAGGUAAAUGUCUAUUUUGCCCUCCAACUUUUAUCACCCUGACCCACAUAUUAUAUUUAUUGCAAUUUCAUGUUGCAGAGUAUUUAGUUUUUGGGUUUUGAUCAACUUUGGUUUGGUUAAGAUGAAGGAGAUUGAGUAGAUGAAGAAAUACAAUAUAUCGAGCAUCCUAUCAACUCAUCAAAAUUGACUCUUUGUUUUCUUUCAUUCUUGUUCCUUGCUCUCCCUGAACUUGAUGAGUUGCUCAACAAGCAAACAAAAGUAUAAGAUGUUUAAAUACUACAACACUUUUCAUGAAAGUUACAUUAUUUCUCUUUUAGAAAAGUUCAAAUUUUAAAAGUACCUAUAUUUCCAUUGAUUUUUAGCUUACACAACACUUCCAUGGGUUUUACAUACUUCAUUGCUUCUAAAAACAUUUAACAUCUUGAAUUAUGGUACAAAAACUCGUUUACUUUUGGUUUUUACAAUUGAUUUGCAUGAAAAGUUAUGGUCAUAUGUACAUUCAUGGGUUAGUUUUGUUAGUGUAUGUAGUGGGAGUGAUCUUGCAGCAUCCAUACGAUGAACUUGGAAUAAGAGGACUAGAGAAAAAGAGCUGUUUGUUGAGAAUGUUAAUCAUUAUUGAUGGUUUAUGUUAAUGGCUUGUUGAAAGUUUAAUAAUCAUGACUUGUAUGUAGGAUGCUAUGGUAAACAAAUAAAUGUAAGUAGUUUGCUAUUUA